rnacentral:rRNA from 1 species
UACGUAGGGGGCAAGCGUUAUCCGGAUUUACUGGGUGUAAAGGGAGCGUAGACGGUGAUGCAAGUCUGGAGUGAAACGUAUGAGCUCAACUCAUGCAUGGCUCUGGAAACUGGAGGACUGGAGAGCAGGAGAGGGCGGUGGAACUCCAUGUGUAGCGGUAAAAUGCGUAGAUAUAUGGAAGAACACCAGUGGCGAAGGCGGCCUGCUGGACGACAACUGACGGUGAGGCGCGAAAGCGUGGGGAGCAAACAGG